AAUGAACGCUGGCGGCAUGCCUAACACAUGCAAGUCGAACGGACGCACGGGGAGCUCGCUCCCCUCACGUUGGCGGCGGGCGGGUGAGUAAUACGUAUAUAACCUACCUAUAAGACUGGGGUAACUACGGGAAACCGGAUCUAAUACCGGAUAAUAUGUUGAACGGGAGGGUGCAAUAGUGCUAGACAGUUUGGCUGACACUUUGAGAUGGAUCCGCGCCGGAUUAGCUAGUUGGUAAGGUAACGGCUCACCAAGGCGACGAUCCGUAGCUGACCUGAGAGGGUGAUCGGCCACACUGGAACUGAGACACGGUCCAGACUCCUACGGGAGGCAGCAGUGGGGAAUAUUGGACAAUGGGCGCAAGCCUGAUGCAGCAAUGCCGCGUGAGUGAAGAAGGCCUUCGGGUUGUAAAGCCCUUUUGUUAGGGAAGAAAAACGGUGGGUUAAUACCCGUACGUUUUGACGGUACCCAAAGAAUAAGCACCGGCUAACUUCGUG
rnacentral:rRNA from 1 species